UUUUUAAAAAUUCAAAAAAUUCUCCAGCGGCCAGAUUUGAAUAUAUCGGGUCCAAAUUUAUAGGAUCGUCUUUUUUUAAGGUGUACUUUUGAGGAAAUAAUCGGCAUCAAAAUCGUUGACCUGAGUGCGCACACUUUCGUCGAGAAUUAAUGGAUCUGCCCAUAUACAUAUAUUUGAUGGAUACAUUUACAAUAUAAGAGUGUUUUGUUUACAAUAAAGGAAAUGGGCAAAAAGACUAAUCAAACUAACAUUUUUUAGAUAGAUAACGUUGCAUGAUUUCUCACUACUUUCCAAAUAACUUUAAUUGCACAAUAAAGGUUGAAAUGAACAUGAUUCAAUCGUGUUUUCGUUACUGUAUGAGGCUACUGGAAUAAAUCCAUACAGCCCGUACCUUAUUUCAUUGUUCACCUAGUGACCCACUCACAAGAUCAGUACGUUGAAGCCGAACGUACUGUCGGGAAUCUUCAUUUACCCAAAUAAGAUAAAAUGAGUCAGGAUAUACGGUGGGCCCAUAUACCAAAAGUGACAGGUGAUGAGACAGGUGAACAAAUCUCGCGAUGUCUGAGUCGAUGUCAACUCUGGCCCAACCGGAUUCAUUUCCGAUUGCUUGGAUUGCAGCAGAUGUUCUGGUAUAACGUUGUUGUCUGUUGGCCAUUCACCAUCCGGGGAUAUACGUGAUCAUGUUCAGACAGGAGAAACUAUACAGAGAGUGUAUAGCCUUUUUGGCCUUUUACACUUUCAUCGUUAUAUCGUGAACUUUUUUACUUCUUCUUCUGCCUUCAUUGUGCAGCUGUGGCCCAGCUUGUACUUAUACUAUACUGCAUCAUUACGGUGACGCCCUAUACCCCACUUUUGCUGUGGGAGUGUAGCGAAAAAGGGAAAUCACAGAAAAAACCCAUUCCAGUACAGUUUUUUUCGGAGUGGACGAAGUUCCGGUGAUCGAUGAAACGCCAAUUUUACCAAUUACUAGAUCUUCAGACCACGCCAAGCGUACAGAAUCAUGCUCAACUUGAGUGAUCACCUGAGCCACGCGAAAACCCUUCGGUUGCCUCUGCGACCUAGGUUUAGGUUAUGUAAAACUGAAUACACAUGUCUCUGUGUACGAUACUAGUAUAGCUCUGGUACUGUAUUAGAGCAGAAGCCCCAGUGGUGCUACAGUGGGCUGUCAGAACUUACUUUCGGUCAGAAUAUAACUAACUUUACUAUAGUUAAUCGAGCAUUCAUAGCACAGCAGUCCCCGGUCCGGUACAAUAAUUCCGGUAGCGAGGGUAAGAAAAUUUGAAAAUAACAACAUCUCUUACAAUCGAAAGGUAAUUAGGGAAAGCACAGCUUGUUCCCAUGUGACUUUUCUGAACUUCGUUACACUCUCCGCCUUGACUGCUAGUUGGGGUUAAAAACUCCAAAUAGCAAGUCACAUACUUUAAUUGGAUAGCCGUGAUUUCCCUAGUUACAAAAUUAAAAAUAAAUAAUUGUAAAUAGAAAUAAUAAAUUACAAAUAAUACACAUUGCAUAAUAAUCGACAAUAAUAAACAUAUUAUUCAAAAUAAUGACUAACUACUAAGCCUGUGAACAUCACUAAAAUAUUAGAAUCACUCUUGCUGUCUAUUUCUUUUAAUUUGAGUUAUUUCUAUCUUUGUCAGACUUAGCAAGUUAGUGUGGUCAUUGUUGAUUUUAUCUGCAGUCUCUCUUUUACUAUCACAGUAUACUACACAUCUGGUAUAAUUGUUUUUCUUUCUUUCUCUAUUUUCGCAAA